rnacentral:rRNA from 1 species
UACGUAGGGUGCAAGCGUUGUCCGGAAUUACUGGGCGUAAAGGGCUCGUAGGUGGCCAACUAAGUCAGACGUGAAAUCCCUCGGCUUAACCGGGGAACUGCGUCUGAUACUGGAUGGCUUGAGUUCGGGAGAGGGAUGCGGAAUUCCAGGUGUAGCGGUGAAAUGCGUAGAUAUCUGGAGGAACACCGGUGGCGAAGGCGGCAUCCUGGACCGGUAUUGACGCUGAGGCGCGAAAGCUAGGGGAGCAAACGGGG